CACUUCCGGGAUCUCGAAGAAGUUGAGCUUCGGGGUUGCGGUGGUGGGGCGAGCUGCCCGCGCUCCCGGGACCGAGGCGGGCCUGCAGACCGCCCGCCGCCCCCCAGGACCCGGCUGGUAGCCCCCUAAGACCGCCCGCCACCCCCAGGUCCACCUGCCGGAGCAGGCGGUGUGUUCUCUGGGCCGCAGGCGAGGAGAGGGGCCAGUUAUGGUCACGCCUCUUUCUCCCCAAGUGAUAAAGCUCAUCUAUUAAAGGAAGCUUUAGGAAUGCGAGUUUCGGGAUUGUUUGACAAGCUACUUCACUGCCUGGUGUAGUUCUUUGGGCAUCAUGAAGCAAACAGCCAGGCUGUGAACAGCCUCCGGGGACCAGGGGCAGCCUCUAGAUCCCAGGGCAGCCAACAAGAAGCCAGGACCCUCAGUCAUCAGCUGCGAGGAAAUGAAUCCUGUAAACACCUUGCAUGGGCCUGGCAGCGGAUUCUCCUCACUGAGACCUCCAGGGGCCCCAGGCAGCAACCGGUGCUCAGAGGCAGUAACCACACUUGGCUGAUGGCCGCUCACUUGGUGCCGCGUGCCGUGUCCUGGACCUCUCACAAAGGCUAAGGAGACGGAGUAGCGGACCCCAGACAGCCCGGCCUCCUGGCUCUCAGGCAUGGUGUGAGGGGCGCCUGGAGAGAUGGGAGGCCUGCAGGUGACAGAGGCCAGGACCCGCAGCCCUGAGAUGGAAAAGCAGGCUGUGUCACCUUUAAAAGAAAGACCACACGAUUACACCUCCAACAGGCUACAGGUAGGAAGACAGGAAGAGACCUGUUUUCACUAAAGGCCACUCCUCCUAAAUGAAAGGGAUAAGGGUUACGUAGUGGGUAGCGCCAAAGACCAAAACUUACGCUACAGCACCCAGCUCUGCUUGCUGUAAGGAUGUGAACUGCAGGUAACAGCUCGGUUUGCCAACGGGUUCCUUGGGCAAGGCGGUUCGUGGUAAGCAUCUGGGAACCCUCCCACACAGCACACCUGUUACCGCUUUCCACCUGCAGCAGCUGAAAGUACGGGCAGCCCAGGGAGCACAGGACAUGCCCUGAACAGAGUGCACGCCUCCGGGGUCCUCCCACCAGCUCCCCGCACAGACCCCGGGUACCCGCUCCUCCUGGCGGAGGUGCACGACACCACUCCCCUUUCCUUGGGUCUUUGUCAAAACUGCAGAAGGAACUUGUCCACAGAAAGUAAAGGGAGGAACCCGUGAAAGCAGACGAAUGAACAGUGGCCCCAUCUGAGGGGGGCCUGGCUCCUGGAAUUUCAGGGGUUAUUCGUGUCAACAUUCCCAACCCCUCCAGUCCCUGCUGACACUUUCUAGGGACACAGGAAAAACCCUGACGCUGGGCCUUUGUCUUUGGUGCCGGUCACAUUUUGUCACCUGAGUGGCUCUCCCGCCCCUACAGACCAUAAGUCAUGGUUUUCAUCAAGGAUCCCCUGGGCAGUGCUCUUAAACGGGCUUCUCACCGAACCCUCCCAGCUCCCAGAGGUGAAAUCUGGUCGGUGGCACCUCGAGCCUCUUCCUAGUGGCGGGACUCCAGGCUCAGAACCUGAGAAUCUUGGAUUGUGAGCCAGCAUUCUGUCCCCCCAGAGAGCCGACCCUUCCCGCGAUGGCCCCACCCCCGUGGCCUUCUCCAUCACCUAUUCAUGACGGCCCCUGCCCACCUUCUGCUGGAGCGUAAGCGGACUCUUCCUGGCUCCCGCCCUCAGGCUCCCGCCUACCACCCAGGGGCAUCUCACUGAAGCCAGCCAUGUCCACUGUGCAGGGAGCAGGUAGGAGCCACCGAACAGGGCUGGAGAGGGGACCCAGGGUGGGCCUGGCCAGAGGAGGGUACGGGGCAGAGGGGCCCUCACGGCAGAGGCGGCCUCUCCUUCCUGAGGACCCCUGCCCUCUGCAGUCUUCCGGGCCGCUUGUUUUACAAAGCCAGGGCCCCAUGACGACAUGGUUUCUUCUGCUGCUCUCUGCCGCCUACAGGAAAACUGAGGUAUGUGGCAGAAUAGACUAAUGACCGAGAGAGCAGGAGACCAAGACUGUCCCAGGCUCCGCAGGGCCCCUUAAAAAUGACUGACGAUGAGGGGAGGCGGAUGGGUGACCCACAGAGGUCCCGCCCUGACCUAAGGAAGUGACCUCUCCCCUCAGCUUGGGAGUGGUCAUUUGCUUGCCCCCAACCAAAGAAGAUGCCUGCUGUCACCAACUUCAGUGCUCUGGUAAAUGGGAACGAGUCCACUUGGCGGCAGAUUUCAAAGGGAAGUACUUGCUGUAAAGCUGAGUAACUUUCACUGAUGCCCGGCAGGGGGUAGAAAAUUUGAGCGGUCCAUCAUUUCCCCUGAAUGAUACUCUGUAAUCACAAAACACCGAGUGAGUCCCAAAGAGCCGUCAUCGUCUUAACGAGUGUCUCUCCUACUACCUGGGCACUCUUGAUUUUAUAAAACCAGGAAUGGCCUUCUGGAAUGGUCCAGACCUAUUUCUAGCCUGAAGCGGGGGUGGGGGUGGGGUGGGGGACACACCUCACAGUCUCUGGGCUGGAGCUCAGUCUGGAGGCAGAAGGACCUAGGUUUGAACCCUCACCUGGGCAAGUGACCCUGAGUUCCUCCAUUAGACAUUCAUUGAGCACCUACUACGUUCCAGGCACUGGGGAUGCAGAGAUAAGUUACAAGGGGUUCAGUGGACCCAGCUCAGUGGGGAGGUGGCCUCUUUCCUCCAAGUUGGGGGUGAUACCUGAGUAGCACGGCCUUGAUACGAAGUAUGAGUCCCUACAGUGUCCAACGCAUAGCAGGAGCGGGAUACACGUUGGUUUCUCUCUUGAAGUUCCAUUUAGAAUUGGCGAUUCUGUCAUUCUGGAAGGUGAUGGGGUAAAACUGCCCCCCACAGAAGAGACGUUGUUGUAUUUCUGAAAGGAUGGUGGGUAUCUUCGUGUAAGGAAGCCUGGCUCCCAGAGGUGAAGUGACUUGUCCAAGUCACACAGGGAGUUUGUAGAACCGUCAGGAUGGGGACCACAUGCCGCCUCAGCAUCCAAAUGUGGCUGCAGUUUUCUUGGACCCCCCCUGCCCUCAGUCAAGAAGUCCUGGAGAAGCACCCUGUUCUGUUACUCUGAAUGUGGCAGAUGAAAAAGGCGUUCAGUUCGUCUUGCGCGUGGUUGCCAUAAUGUGUGGACUUUCGUGUUUGAGCUCAUCGUUAGUCCAGAUACAUCACUGACAUCUAUUGAUACUGCAGUGUGUUCAGAGGUUUUGAGUACAGCUGCUUGGUAACUUAUUUAGCUAGAAACUUUCUAUUCAGAACUUACUCUCUGUUCUUGCGAGAAUUGCUAGAAAAUGUUGACUUAAGGAGAUGCUUCUGUGUUUCAUUGCACAAGUGUGUUCUACUGGGCAGGAUUAUGCAGUGAGGACCACCUCUUAGAGACUGAAGGGCGUAGUAUGGAUUUAAAUAUAGUAAAACAUCCAGGCAGACCUCGGAGGUAUUUUGGGUUUGGUUCCAGACCACCGCAAUAAAGCGGGUCACACAAUUUUUUUCUUCUCCCAGUGCAUAGAAAAGUUACGUUUACAGCACACUGUAGUCUGUUAAGUGUGCAAGAGCAUUAGGUCUAAAAAAAAAUGUGCAUACCUUAAUUAAAAAAUAAUUUAUUGAUAAUACUAAUCCUCAUCUUAGCCUUCAGUGAGUCGUAGUAGUAACAUUACAGAUCGCUGGUCAUAGAUCACCAUCACAAAGAUAAUAAUGAAAAAGCUUGAAACAUUGGGACAAUUACCAAAAUGUACCACGGAGACAUGAAGUGAGCAAAUGCUGUUGGAAAAGUGGCGCCGACAGACUUCCCGCGGGCCUUCAACUUGUAAAAAAUGCAGGUCUGCAAAGUGCAGUAAAGCAAGGUGCACUAAAACGAGGUCUGCCCGUGUAUUGUACUUGCGAUAAGACAGACCUUGUGAUUUGCAUGAAAUUGUCGUUUGUGUUGUGUAAAAACAUCUGUGCUUAAUUUCUAAAAUAUUUAGAAAGAUUUUCCUGUUAGAACUGUAAGGCUUGCCAUCAAAUGGAAAACUCGGUGUUCAUCUAAGAUAAACAUUUAGCAAAUAUUUGGCAAGGGCUUUCUCCAAGCCAGGCGCUUGUAAUCAGUUACAGCCUUGAAUUUGGAAAUGAUAUUUGCUUCCUUUUUAAAAAUUUUACCUUAUUUUUGCCACAAUCCCAACCCCGUGAGGUGCUAGCUUCUCAGAUGCGCAAGCAGCCCAUGUGACGGGUUAUCAGCACUUCUCAAAGCCUGCCAGAAAGGGCGCAGUCCCGGUUUUGGUUUCCUUUGGCUAUACCUGAGGACAGUCCUUGGUGACAGUCAAGGUCUGGAGGACAGUGGCACCUUCCCUGGCCCCCUGGCCAGGGGCCAGCACGUCCCCUACCCGAAAAGGUCCCCUGCUGAGUGCUCCCAGCAAAAACAUGUACGAAUAGCAGUUAAAAUCAUAUUCUCAUUUCUGUGGAACUGGCAAUGCUAAAAAAAUUCUUCUGUUAAUGUAUGCAUGACAUAAAAGUGGAUUGGGAGGAGGAUUUCAGAGACCUGAAAAAUACGCACAGAGGAAGGUGUGUUUCCAAGCCUUCUUCAAGAAGGAAGUGUUUCUGUUAAAAUCAGCACACAGCGGCUGGCUUUCCUCUCAUGCAUUUGCCAUGGAGGCCAUGUGCCGGGAUCGUUAGGGUCACCUGUGCUGGAUCAGGGAUCCAGAGAUCCACCUUCUGUGGCCGGGAGACGGCGGAAAAGUCACGGAACCUCUGUGUGCCUGGGUUUCCUCGUCAAGCGAUUGGGGGCUGUUGGUGACUACUUCUCAGGAUGGCCCCAAGGAUGAACUGAGAUAGGAAGUAGCUUGGAGGUGAGGUUACUCCCGGAGGCUGGACUUGCUUCCUGUUUCAUAUAGAAAACAGAAGCAAUCGAAGCCAGCGUCCCCUCCCUCCUCCUGCCCACCUGCCCGAGUGCCCACGUGCUCCACCUUCUCCCGCUUCUGUGAGUGGCUCGUCUGGGACUCUGCCAGGGACCCCACAUCCUUUUUCCUCCUCCCCCCCUCUUUCUCCCACACCCCCCUCGUCUGCAUCCAAUUGUUCCCACCAACUUACAAACUGUGCUGUUACUUCCCCUUUCCCUUAAAACACCAGCAAACGGGCAAACACGCAAAAGCUGGUCCUUCCGGCCUCCUCACGGCUGGCUCUCCGACCUCCUUCCAGACUCUGCCCACCUACUGGACCAGCCUCUCUGAACAGCAAAGUAAAAUCACACACCACUCACUGCACCGCCUUGCCUGCCUCACUCCCUAUGCCCUUGACCUGCUCAUUCUGCACCCCCCACCCCCCCACCCCCCGCCGACUUUGCAGCACCGGCCCCACCCCAUUGGAGUGUCAGCUCCACAAGGCAGGAUGUCGCCAGUUUUGUUGCCUCCUGGGGCAGAGUGUCUGCUCCAAAAUACUUGGUGAACUGCCACUGAGACGGCGCAGGUCUUUAUCCGAAGGCUAGUGCUUCGCGGAUGCAUACGCUUUCCUUUGGUUAAGUGUUGCUUCAGGAUGUGCGCGUUCUGGGUCCACCCGGGCCGCUCAGCCUCCCCACCCGCCCCGUCCCCUCCUGUUGGCUCCUCCCGAUCCGCAUCCAGGUCCUGGCACCACUGUCACCUGAGCCCGAGACCCUAGCGUCCUGAGUCUCCCAUAUCCAGCCAGGCGGUCGCCAGGCCUUAGCGGGCUCUCCACCUCACGCACCUGGCCUCUCCUCCCUGUCCCUGCAGCUGUCCCUCCUCGUUGAUCCCCCUGCGCCUCUCACCCUUCACGCUGCUGCCGAAGUCAUUUUUCUAAUAGGAGAUCUGAUGCUCCUACUUCUGUUUCAACUCCCAGCGGUUCAGCCCCCUCGCAGGGCUCCGGCCGCACCAGGUGACCUAGAGUCUCGGCAGGUAGUGGGCUGCUGCUCUCUGGGACCGCAGUUCACUCUGCCUGGAAUGCUCGUCCCCUGGUCCCUCGGGACCAGUCACUGCUGGCCAUACUUUCAGGUGGGGGCACUCCCGGGGCACCCAGCGUUCAGAGGCACCUCCAACUCUCCCCCCUCAAGCCUCGAUUGCUGCACUGCUGUAGUGAGGCUUCCUACUGGACCGCUCCUUUUCCGUGGCCAGUUAUCUUUGUUCCCCUCAGGCCUUGCUUGGGGGAAGCUUGGCGAGCCGGUCACCCUCGGCUCAAUGAAGGAAUGACAGGGAGGGGCCUGCUUUGGUGGGAAGUCCCACAUCCUGUCAUUCACUGAGACAUUUCCAAGCGGGGCGGGGGGUAACUGCUGGGGGCGAAAAUCUAUUAUUGGACGAGAAGGGAGCCUGAGGCUAUGGGUUCUUCGGAGUUUGAUCUGUAAACACAGACAUGUGAGGAAGGGAAAAUUAACCAUGAAAUUGAAGACAUCUGCCAACUUAACGAGUCAGAUAGGAAAGGCUGAGGGGUAGGCGGGGAAGGAUGGGGGUCCCGCAGGAGUGUCCACAGCUGACGAAACUUAGGAGGCCUGCCCCGAGCCCACUUUUCCUCGCUCCUUGGUGAGGCUUGGGGUCGUGCCCCAGUUUUCCCUAGGGUGGGGGGGGCGCGGUCUUGAUUUUGGCUGCUCUCACCCUGUGGUUGGUCAGAGCUCACAGCUGCCCCUUGGAGUGCAGGGCCUCCCCACCGUAGACAGGACCUCUGCUGGCCGGAAGUCCUUGGCCACUCGGGGCCAGCCUCCAUUCUGGACCUGGCUCUCCCCCACCAGUGCCAGCCAGGCCCUUACCCGGCCGCCCCUCCUCCCUUCCCACCGGAUUGUUGGGCUACACUUGCGAUAAAGAAUCUCGAUGGUCUCUUAAGAGAAAUUAAAAAUGAGGCGGGGUCUGAGAGUUGUCCCCGAGCUAGAUCAAAGUGCGGGUCACGUGAGAAAGGCUGGGAAACCCCAAACGCUGCAGAAGGCCCGGGAGGGGUGCAGGGGAGCUACAGGGUGUCAGGGCCUGAAGCUCACACAUCUGUUCGUUUAAAGUUUUAUUACAAAACCAUUAAGCUCUUAGCAUGUGACAUAGUGCUUCCGUGAGGGCGUGGGACCGAGCGGCCUUGGUGGUACAGUCUAGGUCACUCCCCUCUUCGGAGCCGUCUCCGGACUGUGGACCAGGGGUCAGUACUUCCUUGGGUUGCCGUGAAGAUUACCGAACCGAGGAGCAACAGUGGGACAGAACCUGCCACACAGCGGUGCCCGAUAUUUAGGGUUUGUUCCCAACAGGGGAGUUAAUUUGUAAUCAGUGGCCACAACCCCUAUAAAUUACCGAAUUUAGUUUGUCAAAAAGAAAACCGAGGAAUUGAACACCAACUGAGCACGAGCAGGCACGAUUCACAGGGUCGCUCAGAAUGCGGAGGCCCCGGCCCCUCUGUCCGGGGCGGUGACAACCAGGGGGCGGCCUGGGGACUCGUCCGGCCAAGUACCUCCUCCGGGCCGCCCCUGCCCCCCAGGCCUCAGCCCUCCUCAGUGGUGGGUGGGCUCGGGCCCCCGAGGCCCAGCGGGCCAGGAGCGCCGGGAGGGACAGGUCUACAGGCCAUAAGGUCACGCCCCUAGUGUGGCGUCUCUGGGUCGGCGUGGGGGCGGGGGCUCUCCUCGCUGUGUGAGGUCUGGGAUCGCGGAUGCCGGGUGGGGACGCCCGGACUGGAGGCCCGCGGGGCGGCUGAGAGCGGGCGCGGCUCCUUUAAGACGCCGUCGGCCCCGCCCCACCCCCCCGCGGGAGCCGCGCCACGUGACCCGGGUCUUGUGACCGGCGGGGGGAGGCGCGGGGGGAAGCCCGCGGCACCCGCCUCCAGGGGGCCCAGCCCCACCGCCGC